ensembl:lincRNA
CAGUGAUUGCUUUUGGGAGAUGUGUUGAUGAUCUGGGUAGCAGGGACACUUACUUUUUAUGUUUCAAGGGAGUUAGGUCCUUUUUAUUCCUUACCAUAUGCAGAUAUUAUUUUUGAAUUUAAAAAGUUUAAGAAAUAAAUGCUGUGGAGUCAGACUUGGAUGUAAAUCCAAUUGCUAUCAAUUUCUAGCCAUGUGGCCUUGACUAAGUUACUUACCCUCUUCUAGUCCUGGUCUUCUAGCUGCCAGAGGGGGACACUCUGUAGCUUGUGGUGAGGGUUAAGCGAGAUACUGCCUGUGAAGUUCUCAGCACAGUGUCUGGCACAAAAGCAAACCCUCAAUUGUUAGAUGCUUGGUCUGAACUGUUUAUGUCCCUCCAGAAUUCAUAUAUUGAUGUCCUAAUCACCAAUGUGAUGGUAGUUGGAGGUGGGGUGUCUUUGGAAGGUAAAUAGGUUUAGAUGAGUUCAUGAGGGUGGAGCACGCAUGAUGGGUAACCCUUAUAAGGAGAUGAAGGGACCAGAGCUCUCUCUACCUUGUGAAGACACAACAAGGAGGCAACUGUCUGUUCACCAGGAAGAGGGAUCUCACCAAGAACCCAAGACUGCCAGCCUCUAGAAGUGUGAGAAAUAAAUGUUUGUAGUUUAAACCACCCAAUUGCUAUAACAGCCCAAACUGACUAAGACAGUGCUUUACGUAAGUAUCUCUAAUUAGCAUUCUGGAUGUAGUACUAUUCAGUUAAGCUAUGUUCUGUGCAUUAGGCACCUAGCAAAAUCUGAUGAUGUGCAAGCAAUGGAAGAGUCACACAGUGGAGAACCAACUGCAACAAUCCCAGGAGCAAAGUGCUAUGGGACCACAGAAGAAAAUAUGUUUUUCUGUCUAAGCAGGGAAGGAUCGAUGCAGGGAACUGUGAUUAAACUAGACAUCUCUGACAGGAAGAAGAGCUGGAAGGACUAACAGGCUCCGGUGGCCACCCUACAACCAGAAAACAGACACCUGACAAUGUAUUGUCAGAUGAUGGAUUAGCCAAGCCUGGGGAAGAGAGCUGAGUGUACAGCUUCCCUCCCAGUCUCCUGGGUGACAAAACCGCUGGAUGACCCCGCCAACAAUAAUGAGAUGAAAAUGAAGAACACUGCAGUAUAAUGAGCAUGAUAAAAAUAGAGAUGUUGCUAAAUAAUGGGUCGGCCAUGGCUGAGGAGCAGGAGAAAGAGCCAAGCCCAAAGGAGGUGGAUAAGGCCUUCCUGUGUGGUCUCCAAGCCUGACCCCCUGAUGUGUUGCUGUUGCUCAACCAGGCCAUAGAUGGUUUUGAGUCCCUAGUGUGGCAAAGAUGUCAGAGAGGGACUAGAGGGUGGGCCUAAGUGAAAAUCCCCAGCAGGCUCUAUCCUGGUCACUGUGGCUCUGACCUCCACCAGGGGAGGGACAAAAGUGUGGUAAGCACACAUGCUGAUGGUGGUUAUGAAUUACUGCCUUUAGUAGGAACUUCUUGCCUGCCAAUGAGUAUCAGCAAAUGGUCUGAGUUAAUGCAUCAAAGUUUUUCAGAACAUUGCACCUCUCAUCUACAUAGUGCAGAGUGGAAGAAGCCUGUUAAUUAUGCUUUUGUUUGUAUUUUUGCUUAGUUGGUAGCUUGGAGUAUCUGCCAGCAGAGGCAGCUGCCCCUAGGGAGGGAGGUACCUGGGUGCUAGAGGGAUGGCUGCCUGUAAAGAUUUCUGGCACCAAGCC